GGCAACCGAUUGCUUUACCACCUCCCUUUUUGCCACCACAGUCUUUGAUUUUCCAGCUGAGUCUCCUCUGAAAAGAAACCACCUCCUUCUCCUUUGCUUACGAGGUUCCAAAAUUUCCCAAGGAUGAGACGGUCACAUCAACAUCCCUGCUCUGGUCCAGCAAUAGAGACAAGUAAGAGAUGUUCAACACCUCCUGGGAACCCCUCCGAAAGGCCCCCAGAUGUGGAAGUGCCACAGGUCAACUGGUCCUCAGUAUAUUCGCCUGGCAUCCCUUGGGAAGAGAGCCGCGCAGACACCAACACAUCCGUACCCACCCAAAGGAUCUCCUAUUGCUGGAAGAACAGCUGCAAUUUCGGCUGCCUGAUCCUGGCUGCAGGCACAAGGAGAAUGAGGGCAAGGAGUCCCACCAGGCUCACGUGGGCACUGGCAUCGCCUUUCUGCCCAGUGCAGGACGGGUACGAGCAUCCCACAGCCAGGAGCUGGGAGAGGCAGAGGAGGCAGUAGGACCAGGACCCUGGGGCAGGAUGAAGAUGAUGCAGAAGCUGGGACUGGGAUGCCUGCCCUGGGUCAGCUGCACUGCUCUCUGGCAAAGCACACGGUGCUGCCAACCCAAACGACCCCAACCCCUGCCCCUCCUCCUCCUGCUGCCACUGCUGCAAAGCUCGGGAUCGAUGCAGGUAUCAGCAUGACCCACUUAGUGUCUUCCUAUGGCUUUCCAUUUAUACCAUCCAUCCACUUUUGGCUUCGGCCGCAGCCUCCCAAGAGGGUUAGUGCUGAUGGCAGUGGGGUCAGGACGCUGCUCAUCCCUUGGAACAGGAGGAGGUCACAGUGCUGCACCCCAGGCUUGGCCAAACCCGCAGCACUUUGGGGCAGAUGGGGAAACUUUCCCAUCGAUUCGCCAUCGACUCUCCUCGAUCGCGUUACCUCCAACAGCCCAUUCAGCAGCGCCGCGAGGCGCCGAGGCAUGCCUCCUGCUUAACACCCACUUAAACCCUUUUUUAUUUUUCUGAAUCAGGCUAAAAACUCCCAUGCUGGGUGUGGGGAAGGUGGGGAGGGCUUGGAUCAGACCCAGGCGAUUGCAGCCUGCCUCGCUGCGGAGCUCAUUUUUGCCCCAUCUGUCUUUUCCUGCUGUCGGACCGGCUUUGCAGCAGCUUUGAAUGAGCACCUGUGAUGGGGAGCACUUGGUUCCCUCCGUGCAGGGAUGGCUGUGCUCAGCCCCACUUGUUAUUAAAUUGCUUCCUGACCCGGUUAAUCCGUAGCUGAUUAAUUUGGGCUGGGUAUCAGAAAGGUUUCAUCUGUCUCAUGGUGUGGACUGUAUGUUCUGGGUCCUCUGCUAAUCUGACUUAUAGAUAUAUUCCAUAUAUAUACCCUAUAUAUGUGUGUGUACAUCCUAUAUAUGUGGAAAAAUCAGAAGGGGGGAAUGUACAGAGGGAGGCUGGCUGGGCAUGCUGGCAGUGAGGGACGCAUCCAUCCUGCACCAGGAAUCCAGCCUGCAAGUUUCCUCCUGUGCAUCCUUCAAUGUGGGGCUGCUGUGUGGUUAUGCAGCAUGUAGUGAUGUUGUGGGUGGGGAAACUGAGGCACAGAGGAGGCUGGGGCUCUGAAUUUGGUGGCUGCCAGUUCAGCCCAAGCAUUUCUUUGAUGGUGCAAUUAAAGGGUUUAAAUGUC
rnacentral:lncRNA from 1 species